ACAUAAAUAAGAAACCAGUGAGCUCAUUGGAUCCAAACCGGCCCAGUUCACUAUCGUCGCCGGUACUGCAUUCCGCCACCGCGUCUCUGCCGCGGGACCACCGCUUUCUUCCGACGGCUCUAAUUUUGUACUGUUGAUCGAGAACAAAACUUGCCGCAGUGUUUUAGGGUUUGGUAGCGUCAGCUACAAAUCAAAGGACCUGUACUCACCUGAAGAUUUUGAAGUUGAUAGUGAAUCAUGAAAAAAUCGGGAUAUGGUUUACAAUUAAGAGUUCCACCAUCGCAGCAGAAGAAGAAACAGCCGGCGAGGCCUCCGCCUCCUAAAGCACUUGGUUUUGGGGAUGGUGAUGAUGAUGAUGUUGAGAAAGAGAUUUCUCGUCAUGCCUCGAAGAAUAAGGCUCUCAAAGAUAUUGAAGAACAGCAUAAGAAGGCUUUAGAAGAGGACCCUUCAGUAUUUGAUUAUGAUGGAGUGUAUGAUGAUAUGAAAGUGAAGGCUGUCCAACCUCGAGCUCAGGAUCGCGAAGAGAGGAAGCCAAAGUAUAUCCAGAUGCUAAUGGAGAAGGCAAAACAACGAGAACGGGAGCAUGAGGUCAUUUAUGAGAGGAAAAUAGCAAAAGAGAGGAGUAAAGAUGAUCAUCUUUUUGCAGACAAAGACAAGUUCGUCACUGCUGCUUAUAAAAGGAAACUUCAAGAGCAGGCUAAGUGGUUGGAGGAAGAGCGUCUUCGUGAGCUACGAGAGGAGAGAGAUGAUGUUACUAAGAAGACCGACAUCAGUGAUUUUUACUUCAGUCUUCAGAAAAAUGUUGCCUUUGGAGGCGAGGGCAAGUCCAAGAAGGCUGUGAAUCAUCAUGAACCAGAAGCAGUUCAGACAGAAGAAAACCCUUCAUCAUCAGCGGAUGUACAUUCACACAUGUCUAGGGAGAUAAAGACACAAGAUCAUGAACCUUCUGUUUCUCCUCCUUGUAAGGAAAGGACUGAUGGAGCCGCAGAUAUGAAACCUCCUUCAGCUGGUUUGUCUGAAAAGAGGGCUGAAAAACUAACUUCCGACAAUGUACCAACUACUACCACUGAACCUGCGGCAAGUGAUCAACCAAAAGUUGACCAUCAUAAAAGAAGUCUGGACGCUGUUGCUGCAGCUAAGGAACGGUUCUUGGCUAGGAAGAAGGCGAAGGAACAAUAAGGUUCCAGCUGCUGCUCUUGUUCUUUUGGUUGAAGCUGAUAUCUUAUCUUUCUACGAUUAAGAUUUACUCCUGUUAUAUACACACACUCACAUUGUUGUAACAAUCUUUUUCAUGAUUUCCGACGUUUGAAUGCACAUUUUCUUACUUUCUA
rnacentral:misc_RNA from 1 species